AUGGAAACAACAAUGAACAAACAGCAACUCCAAGGAGAUCCCAGUCAUUACCAGUCCACAUCUGGAACAUCCAAACCAAUUCCUGGUGACUCUGGAGUUUGCAUCAUGCAGAACUAUUGCUUCAGCACUGCUUUGUUCAGGCUGAACAAAGUUCUAUUGCAUUGUGAGCUGAAAACCUCUGUUUCUUCUCUCCACCAACACGUAAACUCUUCCCCACACACAUGGGAAAUUCCCUUGUUAUACACAAAAACUCAGGUCUGGACACUUUCCUCGGCCCAAGCUUGCCUCGAUUUGACUUGGAUGUCAUGGAGGAACAGAAAUGAACACAGGGAAAUUACUCUGUGGCACUUCACAGCAUAUAUAAAAUACCCGAGACGGAAGUUAAUACAUCAGAAAUUAACUUUACCAGGGGAACAGAAACAAAUGAACAAGAACAAAAAAAGCAACCACCGAGCACAAACAACAACAGCCCCCAGGGAAAGGGAGGCACUGGCUGGCUUUAAAGACUCAGCAGCAUCAAGUCGAGAGUUCUUAUUCGUCAGAGAACCAGACUCCAUACUGGACCUUUAUCAAAGUCAGUCCGCACUAACAAGCGGGAAAAAAAUUCACCGUAAUCAUUCUGAAGCACACACACACACGCCAGGAGCUUUUACCAGACGAUGCUGGGCAGCAUACACGCAAAACAAAAGCUCAAACAACCAGCUUCCUCCGACUAACACCCUGAAGCACGGCUGUAUGAAGGAGAAAAGCGACGGCGGCAAAAACCAGAUUCCCGGAGUCACCACGGGGCCCUCGCGCCGACCCACCCCCGCCCUCCGCGCGCAGCGAAGCGCCGUGAGGCGGCAGCGCCCUCCCUGCCGGCACCGCGCAGCACGGCCCCGCCCACCGCGAGCGGGGAGGAAAGGGAAGAAGGGAAGGGGGGAGGAGAGAAUACCUCCGCUGCUCGCCCCGCCGCUGCCGCGCAGCCCUCUCCCGCCCGUUGGCUGCCGGGAGCGGCAUGGCGGCCGGAAGCGGCGCGCGUCCCGGGCGGGCGGCAGCGCCACUGGAGGCGGUCGCCCUCCAGUAGCUUGUGGAUGGCCCUGGAUGCGGACUAACACUCGGGCGGUCGGGCCAGGCCUCCCCGAGGCAGCCGAGCACCCCCGGGUGCUGAGGAGAGGCCCUGCCCGCACCCAGCCCCGCCCCGAGCUCCUGCCUCGGGCAGCCCUAACCAUCUGUGCCGCCUUAGGCCGUGUUCUCACCUAAAUCGCCUCCUGCCCCUAGGAGGGCUCUGUGAUGAGUCAGUAAAACGCUCAGCCCCUCCUUGCACCCCAUCAAAGCGUUCACUAGGAGAAGGCUGGCUGGAGGAGACUCUUAGAGCAGUGUAGCCAUCGCACUGCGGGCUGAUUUGUUUUGCAGUGUUGUCAGUUUUCACCUUUCUUUAGUCUGUGUUAGGCCUUUCCGCAGAAAAGCGAUGUCUGUGUCCCCGCGCGCAGCCUGUGUGACACCAGCGUGUCCUGUUGGUGCUGCGCUUACUGCAGUGUGCUUUGUUACAAUUUCCUUCUAAGGUUGUGACUUCAUUAUUUAUAGUUACCAGCUCAGGUAAAGAAAACCAACUUGUGUAACAAACACAUGUAACUAACACCUCAGGCAAUAUGCAUGACUUUUUCCCUUGGACUUCAGCUUAUUUUCCUCCUCUUUUUUUCAGUACCAUCUUGAUGCAGGAGAGAAGGCAGGGACUUGCAGGAGGUUCAUUUUAAGUGUCCCUUUAACCUUUAAGCACUGAAACGUCCUCCAUGAUAUAGUCACUUUUCUGUCACCUGCAGUUACUGAUUUUUGGUUUCAUUGUAAUGUUUCACCAGGUAUGGCUCCUGCUUUCAAGGUCCCUUUUGCUGUAGAAAUCCAUGACCUACCUUUUCCAUGCUCUCUGCCUUCUGCCCUGUUACCUCCACAGUUCACCUGAUCUUCUCAUAGACCAAUCUAACGCUCUAGGACAGCAGGAAAAAAUCCUGUGUUUUUCUGGAUUUCCUGCUGUUUUGUGCUCAGUUAGCUCAUGGAAAGGCUGGUCAGAGUGUGAGCUGACAGAGAACAUCAUGGAGGGGAAAAGCUGAGAAAAGAGAGAUGUCCCUAUAGGCAACGCUGAGCCAUUAGAUAACUUAGCUGUCCAAGGAGCCAUAACAUUGCCUGAUAAUGGCACCGCAGCCACAGCAUGUUUUGCAUUGCAUUUCUGAAGUACCCAGGAUGAAAGAAGUAGUGUAAAAGUUUUAAAACAACCCAGUGGGCUUGAAAACACGUUCUUAUCUUAACACAGAUGUUACCUGUUGCUGCAUUGAGUUGUUUCAGUGCACAAUACUGCAGUCUGUAAGUAGCUGCUUUCCAUGGCAGCUGCUGAUCUGAUGCCCAGUUUUGCCCAGCUGUAUGAAGGCCACUGGUAACUUGCUGUAACGUUACAAACGCUGACAUGUAGACAGGCUGCUUGGUACCACUCUGCACAUCUAGGACCGGCAGACCAAUGUUAUUUCCUCUUUUUUUUUUUUUUUUUUUUUUGCGUGUGUCUGAAAUAAAAGGUCAAUUAAUAAUUUUGUUAGUGUUUAU
rnacentral:lncRNA from 1 species